GUAGCUUUCUUAGUUUCUUGUG
rnacentral:siRNA from 1 species